rnacentral:rRNA from 1 species
AUUGAACGCUGGCGGCAGGCCUAACACAUGCAAGUCGAGCGGAUGAAGGGAGCUUGCUCCUGGAUUCAGCGGCGGACGGGUGAGUAAUGCCUAGGAAUCUGCCUGGUAGGGGGGGAUAACGUCCGGAAACGGGCGCUAAUACCGCAUACGUCCUGAGGGAGAAAGUGGGGGAUCUUCGGACCUCCCGCUAUCAGAUGAGCCUAGGUCGGAUUAGCUAGUUGGUGGGGUAAAGGCCUACCAAGGCGACGAUCCGUAACUGGUCUGAGAGGAUGAUCAGUCACACUGGAACUGAGACACGGUCCAGACUCCUACGGGAGGCAGCAGUGGGGAAUAUUGGACAAUGGGCGAAAGCCUGAUCCAGCCAUGCCGCGUGUGUGAAGAAGGUCUUCGGAUUGUAAAGCACUUUAAGUUGGGAGGAAGGGCAGUAAGUUAAUACCUUGCUGUUUUGACGUUACCAACAGAAUAAGCACCGGCUAACUUCGUG